rnacentral:rRNA from 1 species
AGGUGAAAAGAACCCCGGGAGGGGAGUGAAAUAGACCUGAAACCGUAGACUUACAAGCCGUAGGAGGUUUUUUAUAAACUGACUGCGUGCCUAUUGAAGAAUGAGCCGUCGAGUUAAUUUAAGCAGCUAGGUUAAGAAACAUACGUUUCGGAGCCGUAGCGAAAGCGAGCCUGAAUAGGGCGUGAAUUUGUCGAAAACAAACCUGUCUUCCGAAAGCAUCUUUUUUGUUGAUUAUUUUGCUUGCAAAAUAAGAUUUAAAUUUGAUAUUUGAAGUUGAUGGUCGAGUUUUCAUUAUGGCAAAUGUGUUGCUUGAAUUAGACCCGAAACCGAGUGAGCUACCCAUGGCCAGGUUGAAGCCCAGGUAAAACCUGAGUGAAGGACCGAACCCGUGUAUGUUGCAAAAUGCUGGGAUGAGCUGUGGGUAGAGGUGAAAUGCCAAUCGAACUCGGAGAUAGCUGGUUCUCCCCGAAAUGUAUUUAGGUACAGCCUCAAUCGUAGUCUUAAGGAGGUAGGGCACUGGAUGGGAUAGGGGGCGUAAGCUUACCAAACCUAACCAAACCACGAAUGCCUUAAGAUGUUCAUUGGGAGUGAGACAGUGGGGGAUAAGCUUCAUUGUCGAAAGGGAAACAGCCCAGACCGCAGGUUAAGGCCCCUAAAUGUGAACUAAGUGUGAAAGGAAGUAAGAUUCCUAAAACAGCUAGGAGGUUGGCUUAGAAGCAGCCAUCCUUUGAAGAGUGCGUAACUGCUCACUAGUCGAGGAAUCUUGCGCCGAAAAUGUAACGGGGCUAAGUUCACUGCCGAAACCGCGGAUCUAAUAAUUUAUUAUUAGGUGGUAGGGGAGCGUUGUUAUCAGCAUAGAAGCUCAAAUGUGAGUUUGAGUGGAGCAAUGACAAGUGAGAAUGGCGGCAUGAGUAGCGACAAUCCUGGUGAGAAUCCAGGACACCGAAAGCACCAAGGUUUCCUACACAACGCUGAUCGAUGUAGGGUAAGUCGGGCCUAAGCCGUAGCGUGCAAGCGAAGGCGAUGGACAACGGGUUAAUAUUCCCGUACUGCUACUAUUUUGUUAUAAAGUAAAGGGGGGACACGGAAAGGUAAACGAAGCGUGCCUAUUGGACAUGGUACGUUCUAUCCCGUAGGCCAAGCUAUAAUAGGCAAAUCCGUUAUAGCGUUACGAGCUGAGAGGAUGGAGAACUUUCGGGCUUCGGCCCUAGGGAACUUCGUUGAUCCUAUACCGUCGAGAAAAGCCUCGUUACAAGAAAUAGAAGCAUCCGUACCGCAAACCGACACAGGUAGGCUGGGGUAAGUGUCCCAAGGUGAACGAGAUAACCCUCCUUAAGGAAUUCGACAAAUUAGCCCUGUAACUUUGGGAGAAAGGGUGCCCAUGAGGUGAAAUCCACUUGCUGGAUGGAGGCCUUUGUGGGUCGCAGCAAAGAGGCUCAGGCGACUGUUUAUCAAAAACACAGGUGUCUGCUAAACCGAAAGGUGAUGUAUAGGCGCUGACGCCUGCCCAGUGCCGGAAGGUUAAGGGAAUGGGUUCGUUAAAUUCGUUUAACAAAGCUCAGAACCGAAGCCCCGGUGAACGGCGGCCGUAACUAUAACGGUCCUAAGGUAGCGAAGUCCCUUGUCGGGUAAGUUCCGACCUGCACGAAUGGCGUCACGACCUGAGCGUUGUCUCAAGGGGGGACUCGGUGAAAUUGCAAGGCCAGUGAAGAUGCUGGCUACCCGCAACAGGACAAAAAGACCCCGUGGAGCUUUACUGCAACUUGACAGUGGAUUGUGGUUAUAUAUGUGUAGGAUAGGCGGGAGACUUUGAAGCUAUCACGCCAGUGAUAGUGGAGUCAACCUUGAAAUACCGCUCUUCUAUGACCUAUGUCCUAACCCCUUUGAAAUAGGGGGACCCUGCCAGGUGGGCAGUUUGACUGGGGCGGUCGCCUCCUAAA